UAGGGAAUCUUCGGCAAUGGGGGGAACCCUGACCGAGCAACGCCGCGUGAGUGAAGAAGGUUUUCGGAUCGUAAAGCUCUGUUGUUAAGGAAGAACGAGUGUGAGAAUGGAAAGUUCAUACUGUGACGGUACUUAACCAGAAAGGGACGGCUAACUACGUGCCAGCAGCCGCGGUAAUACGUAGGUCCCGAGCGUUGUCCGGAUUUAUUGGGCGUAAAGCGAGCGCAGGCGGUUAGAUAAGUCUGAAGUUAAAGGCAGUGGCUCAACCAUUGUAGGCUUUGGGAACUGUUUAACUUGAGUGCAGAAGGGGGGGGUGGAAUUCCAUGUGUAGCGGUGAAAUGCGUAGAUAUAUGGAGGAACACCGGUGGCGAAGGCGGCUCUCUGGUCUGUAACUGACGCUGAGGCUCGAAAGCGUGGGGAGCGAACAGG
rnacentral:rRNA from 1 species